rnacentral:rRNA from 1 species
UACGAAGGGGGCUAGCGUUGCUCGGAAUCACUGGGCGUAAAGGGCGCGUAGGCGGCCAGAUAGGUCUGCUGUGAAAACUCGAGGCUCAACCUCGAGAUGUCGGCGGAAACCAUUUGGCUAGAGUCCGGAAGAGGAAAGUGGAAUUCCUGGUGUAGCGGUGAAAUGCGCAGAUAUUAGGAGGAACACCGGUGGCGAAGGCGGAUCUCUGGGCCGAUACUGACGCUGAGGAGCGAAAGCGUGGGGAGCGAACAGG